rnacentral:lncRNA from 1 species
AUAGUGAAAACCUUUAUCUAGUGGCUCAUCUUUCUUCAGUCUCACAGCCCACAAAUCAGAAAUGUAGACGAAUGUAAUAGGCUUGGAAAAUACAUGUUAAGUGAAUAAAAUCUAACAAAAAAAGGACAAAGGUAGCAUUCUGAAUUAUCACUUUGUUAGAAAGAGAGGUGAAAAGAAGGGAUUCCUGCUGGACAAUCCCGGCAAAACGAGACCCACUACAGACAGCACUUUACCCAACCCGCCAGCCUUUAGAUUCUCAGGGUGAAAGCCGAUGACCUCACACGGGGUUUAUGAGGUGCGUGGAAAUCCUCCCUAAGACUUCUGGGGAAUGGAGUCUAAGAUCUGCUAGGAUCCAGCUUAAGAGAUCCAGUACUGGAGUCGGCAGAACUGGAGUAAAAUCCUGGUCCUUGUGUAACAUGAAUUAAAAUUAAGAAACUAGCAGUAUUCUACUACAGUGAAGCUCCUGAGUACUCAGCUCCAAUUAUUCAAUAUUCUUGAAAGGAUGCUUUAAAAAGCAAGCCCUUGUCCAAUAAGGUAUUUAAUAGUGCUUAGGGACUAUUAGAUGUCCCAUUUCUCUUCUCUUUCAUUUCUCUUGAUCCCUUCUCACCCCAGUGUAACAAACUGCUACAGGUUUUUACCAAAACGCUGCAGCAGUAGUUGGAAAUGAGUUAUUUUGCAUUAUCAAAGUAUUCAAUCACAUUAUCACAGGUCACAUUUGCAUAUAACCAAGAGAUGGACAAAUAACAUCUAUUGCAGUGAUU